ACCAGUUGCCUUAGUUUAUCAACAUCUGAGAAUGUCAUGAUUUCCCCUUCAUUCCUAGAGGAUAUUUUUACUGGAUUUGGAAAACUAAGUUAGUUCUUUUCUUUGAAACAUUGUGGUACCACUUCCUUCUAGCCUCCAUGGUUACUGAUGAGAAAUCUGCUGCCAUUUGACUCACCCCUUCCCAACCAUAGUAUGCAUGCAGCUGGGACCCUGAGAUUUCCUCAUCCUGUGCCAAGAGAUGGCUCUCUGGUUUGACCAUGUGCUGUAUUGAAGACCUACGAAAGGGGAAGAAGACCAGGGACAACUAAAGAACAAGGUGCAGCCAGUCCCACAGAUGUUCUAUGGAGGAACCGUCUUUCUGGAGCAGGUACCAAUCCACAGCCCUGUACUGCACUGUGGCUUCCCAAGGACUUCUGCAAACAUCUCUAACCCCUCCCCUCCAAGGACCAAGCCAGCCUGGCCCAGCCGUGCAAGUGGAAGGCUCUGGAAGGCCAACUACCAGAAUUUGAAAAGGGCCAAUCAGAGGGGAAAUGGAACAAGAUGCAACUGGACAGAGAGGCAGGCCUGGUGAGCCACGCGGGCCUGGGAAGGAAAAUCAGUCCUGGAAAUUCCGUAGCGACAGAAGCAGACGUGGCCCACGCAGCCCAGCAUAGAUCCUUUCCCAUCUUGAGAACAUCUUUUCCAGCGACAGCCAAACACAGGCAAACUCUGAACGUGCCGCUGUGCCCACAGAGCAGAACAUCCAACCAACAGCAGAGCCGCGUGGCCAAAGAAACUGAGAAUUAUCAAUGGUCAGGUCUGGAAGAUUUGAUGUAUUCUAUGUCUGCCAAGGGCAGGGAGGAGAUUGCAUAGGAGAGGGAGUGAUCAGGAUGUCUUGAGAUGCCAGAGAGAUGGAAGAAGCAACAUCUCCAUCACUGAAUCCACUCUAGGUUUGGCCCAUCCUCAUGGUAGGGCUGUUGGCUUGCAGGCACCACGUGACCCAGGGCCUACCGUCCCCUCCAGCCUCAUGCCCCCACUGGACUCAUCACUCACAAAGCUGCAGGUGCCCUGGCUUUGUUCAGGCUCCAAAUGCGUCCACAAUCUUUGAACCUCAGAGCUCCAUACGUGCCCCUUACUGAACAGAAGUGAGGCUGUACCUGUGGUGGAGAAAGUGCACACCGCGUAUUUGCAGAGUGAUGACUAAAAGCCUGACCACGUUCUGGGCACUGGGAAUUCAGAGAUGAACACAGUCUCCAUACUCAAAGAACUCCCAAUCUAGUGGGAGGGGUGGGAAAGUAAAGCAAUGGGCCCAGUGACAAGCGGCACUGCAGUCUGACACUAUGCUGGAAGUGUAGCGCAGAGAGGGUCAUGUGACCCAAGUGAGGGGCAUCAGGAAAGGCUUCCUGGAGGAGGUGAUAUCUGACAUGAGCUUUGAAGGGUGAGUAGUGGCUUUCCGGUGGUGGAUGGGGGAACACUUCCAGGCAGAACAAACCGUGUGGGCAGAAGCUCUGAGGAAUGAGAGUGAUCUGGGAGCCGAGGGGAAGUGGCAGCGGAUGAGUGGGGUGGAGGUGAGGCAGGGAGUGAGAGAACUCAGGCAGCCGAGUCAUUUCAGAGCAUCCGGUGAGCCCAGCACCAAGACAAGCACCAGUGGGAACACGGGCCACCCUGCCUCUAAGAGCCCAGAGCCUACAAAUGCAGCUGCUGCUACUAACACCGUACUCUAGACAGCUUCGGUCCUCUCCUUCCUGUGGAGCAAACACGCCUUUGUCACCCAGGUCCUGAAGACAGUCAACACCAAAUAUUCAUCUAAUAUAUAAUAUUCACUUAUAUAUUAGACUGCAGUGUGCCAGGCGUGAAGCUAAGCACCAGAGAAGAUAAAAAGAAAGAUUUCUCAGGGCAGCUUACAUAUUGCAACACAUGCUCAUACAUACACACACACUCUCACACUCACACACAUGUUCACACACAUGCACACACAUGCACACACAUGCAUACACUCACAUGCACACACAUGCACACAUUCACACACAUGCUCUCUCACCACACAGGAUAGCAAGCCGCUCAUUCCCAGCUUCCGGAGAGAUGGGCUGCCCCUGCUACUAGGAUCCAAAAGCUGUGACCCCUCACAAGUCUCCCAGUCACUCCAUUACCUCUCGAAGGGUGCCCCAAAUCCAUUAGCCAGGACAGAAAUUUCCAUUUCAACAUGAGAAGAAAGGUUUAAACCAGAACUUCACUUGGAGGAAGAAACAUCUCACCCAAACAUCUCUCAACCGUGGUAGGAAUGAGCAAAUGGAAACUCUACUGUUAAGUACGGGUCCAACUCUCGAAUCCGGCUGUGACCUCCCGGAUAGCAAUCCCUCUUUGCCCAAAACUCCAUUUUUAGACAUCCUCACCCACGUGUCUUGGGCCAUCAGGACUGUGGUUAGGUGCCCUCCCGCCCCGCCUUUCUCACUCGUGUUCGUUGUAACUGUGCCUCAGCCGACUAAAUGAGUGUCCCUGCACAAGUCACCCAAUGCAAAUUUCAUCUCC